rnacentral:rRNA from 1 species
GACGAACGCUGGCGGCGUGCUUAACACAUGCAAGUCGAACGGAAAGGCCCUGCUUUUGUGGGGUGCUCGAGUGGCGAACGGGUGAGUAACACGUGAGUAACCUGCCCUUGACUUUGGGAUAACUUCAGGAAACUGGGGCUAAUACCGGAUAGGAGCUCCUGCUGCAUGGUGGGGGUUGGAAAGUUUCGGCGGUUGGGGAUGGACUCGCGGCUUAUCAGCUUGUUGGUGGGGUAGUGGCUUACCAAGGCUUUGACGGGUAGCCGGCCAGAGAGGGUGAACGGCCACAUUGGGACUGGGUUUCGGCCGCGACUCCUACGGGAUGCAGGAGUGGGGAAUAUUGCAUAAUGGGCGGAAGCCUGAUGCAGCAACGCCGCGUGCGGGAUAACGGCCUUCGGGUUGUAAACGGCUUUCGCCUGUGACGAAGCGUGAGUGACGGUAAUGGGUAAAGAAGCUCCGGCUAACUACGUG